rnacentral:rRNA from 1 species
UACGUAGGUGGCAAGCGUUGUCCGGAUUACUGGGCGUAAAGAGCGCGCAGGCGGUCGUUCAAGUGCGUGUGCAAAGCCCCCGGCUCAACUGGGGAGGGUCACGCGAUACUGAUCGACUCGAAGGCAGGAGAGGGAAGUGGAAUUCCCGGUGUAGUGGUGAAAUGCGCAGAUAUCAGGAGGAACACCGGUGGCGAAGGCGGGUCUCUGGGCAGUAACUGACGCUGGAGGAGCGAAAGUGUGGGGAGCGAACAGG